rnacentral:misc_RNA from 1 species
GAUGAAGAACGUAGCGAAAUGCGAUAAGUAAUGUGAAUUGCAGAAUUCAGUGAAUCAUCGAAUCUUUGAACGCACACUGCGCCCGCCAGUAUUCUGGCGGGCAUGCCUGUUCGAGCGUCAUUUCAACCAUCAAGCCCCAGGCUUGUGUUGGGGUCCUGCGGCUGCCGCAGGCCCUGAAAAACAGUGGCGGGCUCGCUGUCACACCGAGCGUAGUAAUACAUCUCGCUUUGGACGUGCGGCGGGUUCUUGCCGUUAAACACCCCCCUUCUCAAGGUUGACCUCGGAUCAGGUAGGAAUACCCGCUGAACUUAAGCAUAUCAAUAAGCGGAGGA